rnacentral:rRNA from 1 species
AUUGAACGCUGGCGGCAUGCUUUACACAUGCAAGUCGAACGGUAACAGGCCGCAAGGUGCUGACGAGUGGCGAACGGGUGAGUAAUGCAUCGGAACGUGCCCAGUCGUGGGGGAUAACUGCUCGAAAGAGCAGCUAAUACCGCAUACGAUCUAUGGAUGAAAGCGGGGGACCGUAAGGCCUCGCGCGAUUGGAGCGGCCGAUGUCAGAUUAGGUAGUUGGUGGGGUAAAAGCUCACCAAGCCAACGAUCUGUAGCUGGUCUGAGAGGACGACCAGCCACACUGGGACUGAGACACGGCCCAGACUCCUACGGGAGGCAGCAGUGGGGAAUUUUGGACAAUGGGGGCAACCCUGAUCCAGCAAUGCCGCGUGCAGGAAGAAGGCCUUCGGGUUGUAAACUGCUUUUGUACGGAACGAAACGGUCUGGGUUAAUACCCUGGGCUAAUGACGGUACCGUAAGAAUAAGCACCGGCUAACUACGUGCCAGCCGCCGCUGUAAGAC